rnacentral:rRNA from 1 species
GACGAACGCUGGCGGCGUGCUUAACACAUGCAAGUCGAACGGAAAGGCCCUGCUUUUGUGGGGUGCUCGAGUGGCGAACGGGUGAGUAACACGUGAGUAACCUGCCCUUGACUUUGGGAUAACUUCAGGGAACUGGGGCUAAUACCGGAUAGGAGCUCCUGCUGCAUGGUGGGGGUUGGAAAGUUUCGGCGGUUGGGGAUGGACUCGCGGCUUAUCAGCUUGUUGGUGGGGUAGUGGCUUACCAAGGCUUUGACGGGUAGCCGGCCUGAGAGGGUGACCGGCCACAUUGGGACUGAGAUACGGCCCAGACUCCUACGGGAGGCAGCAGUGGGGAAUAUUGCACAAUGGGCGGAAGCCUGAUGCAGCAACGCCGCGUGCGGGAUGACGGCCUUCGGGCUGUAAACCGCUUUCGCCUGUGACGAAGCGUGAGUGACGGUAAUGGGUAAAGAAGCACCGGCUAACUACGUG